rnacentral:rRNA from 1 species
AUUGAACGCUGGCGGCAGGCCUAACACAUGCAAGUCGAGCGGAUGAAGGGAGCUUGCUCCUGGAUUCAGCGGCGGACGGGUGAGUAAUGCCUAGGAAUCUGCCUGGUAGUGGGGGAUAACGUCCGGAAACGGGCGCUAAUACCGCAUACGUCCUGAGGGAGAAAGUGGGGGAUCUUCGGACCUCACGCUAUCAGAUGAGCCUAGGUCGGAUUAGCUAGUUGGUGGGGUAAAGGCCUACCAAGGCGACGAUCCGUAACUGGUCUGAGAGGAUGAUCAGUCACACUGGAACUGAGACACGGUCCAGACUCCUACGGGAGGCAGCAGUGGGGAAUGUUGGACGAUGGGCGAAAGCCUGAUCCAGCCAUGCCGCGUGUGUGAAGAAGGUCUUCGGAUUGUAAAGCACUUUAAGUUGGGAGGAAGGGCAGUAAGUUAAUACCUUGCUGUUUUGACGUUACCAACAGAAUAAGCACCGGCUAACUUCGUG